GACGAACGCUGGCGGCGUGCUUAACACAUGCAAGUCGAACGGUGAAGCGCCUUCCUUUUUGGUGGGUGUGGAUGAGUGGCGAACGGGUGAGUAACACGUGAGUAACCUGCCCCCUUCUUCUGGAUAACCGCAUGAAAGUGUGGCUAAUACAGGAUAUUCUGGGUCUGUCGCAUGAUGGGUCUGGGAAAGAUAUUGUUUCGGUGGGGGAUGGGCUCGCGGCCUAUCAGCUUGUUGGUGGGGCGAUGGCCUACCAAGGCGGUGACGGGUAGCCGGCCUGAGAGGGUGGACGGUCACACUGGGACUGAGACACGGCCCAGACUCCUACGGGAGGCAGCAGUGGGGAAUAUUGCACAAUGGGCGCAAGCCUGAUGCAGCGACGCCGCGUGAGGGAUGGAGGCCUUCGGGUUGUGAACCUCUUUCGCCAGUGAAGCAGGCCUGCCUCGUUUGUGGGUGGGUUGACGGUAGCUGGAUAAGAAGCGCCGGCUAACUACGUG
rnacentral:rRNA from 1 species